rnacentral:tRNA from 1 species
GGGAUGUAGCUCAGUUGGUUAGAGCAGCGAACUCAUAAUUCGUUAGUCCACGGUUCAAGUCCGUGCGUCCCC